GGUAAUUCGAGGAAAGUGCCAACCAGCCGUGGAGGCCAAAUGAAAGGAGCAUGGUGGCACACCGCGAGAGGGGAAACGGGGAGAGACCUACACCAAGCCACAAUAGAGAAGUAAGCUUCACCACUCGUGACUAUGGAGUCUCCAGUCAGCAUCUUGAAGGUGCUCGUCUUUCCUGCUCCGUUGACUCCAAGAAGACCAAAACACUGGAGAGAGAGAGAGAGAGAGGAGAGAAGAGUUUCACUGGACUGAACCAUCAACUGGAUAUGAAAGGGGAGAAUCUAUGGGUCGGGCCAGAAACUUCUCCUGACCAUCUGACCUGACCGGUAAAGCUGGUCUAUUGCAGACUAAUGAUCAGGCGAGGUCAUGUGACCAGGAAAAACUCCCGUCCCUAUCUAUGCUGUACAGUGGUAGCAGAGCCAGCUCACCUCUCCUGGAGGAAUUCCGACACAAAGACGAUCCACUGCUGGUUUCUGUUUUCUAUUGUAC